CUGGCGGGUGCAUGAGGCAUGCAAGUCGAACGUGAAAGCCUUCGGGUGAGUAGCGUGGCGGACGGGCGAGUAACACGUAAUCAAGCUACCUGCCAGACGGGGAUAACUCAGGGAAACCUGAGCUAAGACCCGAUGGUCUUCCGGGAUCGCAUGUUCCUGGUCGUAAAUGGACGGGCUCCUUCGGGACCGUCUGCUGGCAGAGGUGAUUGCGGCCCAUCAGCUAGUUGGUAGGGUAAUGGCCUACCAAGGCAACGACGGGUAGCCGGCCUAAGAGGGUGGUCGGCCGCACUGGGACUGAGACACUGCCCAGACUCCUACGGGAGGCUGCAGUCGAGAAUCUUCCGCAAUGGGCGAAAGCCUGACGGAGCGACGCCGCGUGGAGGACGAAGGCCUUCGGGUUGUAAACUCCUGUCACGAGUUAAGAACGACCUGCGACGAACAGUCGUAGGUUUUGACGUAAGCUCGAGAGGAAGCACUGGCUAACUCUGUGCCAGCAGCCGCGGUAAUACAGAGAGUGCGAACGUUGUUCGGAAUUACUGGGCUUAAAGCGCGCGUAGGCGGCGAUACAAGUGUCGGGUGAAAUCCCACGGCUCACCCGUGGAACUGCCCGGCAAACUGUAUUGCUCGAGUGUGGUAGGGGAGAGCGGAACUCCUGGUGGAGCGGUGAAAUGCGUAGAUAUCAGGAGGAACACCGGUGGCGAAGGCGGCUCUCUGGUCCACAACUGACGCUGAGGCGCGAAAGCUAGGGGAGCAAACGGGAUUAGAUACCCCGGUAGUCCUAGCUGUAAACGAUGGGCACUAGCUUGGGGACUCCCUGUGU
rnacentral:rRNA from 1 species